rnacentral:rRNA from 1 species
UACGUAGGGUGCAAGCGUUGUCCGGAAUUAUUGGGCGUAAAGAGCUCGUAGGCGGUCUGUCGCGUCUGCUGUGAAAACCUAGGGCUUAACCCUGGGCCUGCAGUGGGUACGGGCAGACUAGAGUGCGGUAGGGGAGACUGGAAUUCCUGGUGUAGCGGUGAAAUGCGCAGAUAUCAGGAGGAACACCAAUGGCGAAGGCAGCUCGCUGGAACGGUACUGACGCUGAGGCGCGAAAGCGUGGGGAGCAAACAGG